rnacentral:rRNA from 1 species
UACGAAGGGGACUAGCGUUGUUCGGAAUCACUGGGCGUAAAGCGCACGUAGGCGGAUUUGUAAGUCAGGGGUGAAAUCCCGGGGCUCAACCUCGGAACUGCCUUUGAUACUGCGAAUCUUGAGUCCGAUAGAGGUGGGUGGAAUUCCUAGUGUAGAGGUGAAAUUCGUAGAUAUUAGGAAGAACACCAGUGGCGAAAGCGGCCCACUGGAUCGGUACUGACGCUGAGGUGCGAAAGCGUGGGGAGCAAACAGG